rnacentral:rRNA from 1 species
UACGUAGGGUGCAAGCGUUAAUCGGAAUUACUGGGCGUAAAGCGUGCGCAGGCGGUUCUAUAAGACAGAUGUGAAAUCCCCGGGCUCAACCUGGAACUGCAUUUGUGACUGCAUAGCUAGAGUACGGUAGAGGGGGAUGGAAUUCCGCGUGUAGCAGUGAAAUGCGUAGAUAUGCGGAGGAACACCGAUGGCGAAGGCAAUCCCCUGGACCUGUACUGACGCUCAUGCACGAAAGCGUGGGGAGCAAACAGG